UUUAGUAGUAGAGAGGGAAGAGAACAACGCUCCUUUGUGCUUGGUGAGAGGAAGCAAGGACUUCAGUAAGGUAUCUUUGAAGGAAGCCUAUGGAAGAGCAACAAUAACAACAACAACAACAACAACAACAACAACAACAACAACAAACAACAGAAGUGUAAAAAUCAAGAAGAAAAAACUAAGAGCAGAAACAAACUUUGGAUGAAGUUUGAAAUUAAAAUGCAUGCAAUCAACCACUAUUAUUGGAACUGAGUUGUCACUGGUUUUGAGCUGUUUUAGCAGUCAAAAUGAAGAAGAAAAAAAAUCAGUCCAUGGCAAUUACCUUGUCAGUGUGACAAAAACGAACCACAGAGGCUCCCUGUAGGGGGCAGCUGAAGCUGGAGAUUGAUCACACAUGUGGGGCUGGAGCAAGACUGGUCUAAAGGACAAAGAGCACAUGAGACAAGCCACUGAACAAGCUACUCCAGUCCAGAGAACACCAGGCACCCAAGGCAAUCCAAGCAAUGGGUUUCUUGGCAAAGGGGUGUCAUGUGACACCAACCUGUCAAAUGUAUAAAUAAAUAUCUGCAGUGGUUGAGUAGGUCCUUUCUUCCAUCUGGAGAGAGGGCUGUACCUGAUUCAGCUUUCUGCAUCUUGUCUUAAUUUCUUCACCUUCUUGACAACCUUCAUGAUUCUUACCCUGGGAAGUUUGAGAGCUGAGUAGGCCAUGGCAUAAUGGCACCUGAGCAGGGACCUAGGACAUGAGGAAAGUC